rnacentral:rRNA from 1 species
CACGUAGGGGGCGAGCGUUGUCCGGAUUUAUUGGGCGUAAAGAGCUCGUAGGCGGCUUUGUCAGUCGGGUGUGAAACCUCCAGGCUCAACCUGGAGCCGCCACCCGAUACUGCAAUAGCUAGAGUCCGGUAGGGGAGCAUGGAACUCCUGGUGUGAGCGGUGAAAUGCGCAGAUAUCAGGAGGAACACCGGUGGCGAAGGCGGUUCUCUGGGCAUUACCUGACGCUGAGGAGCGAAAGUGUGGGGAGCGAACAGG